rnacentral:tRNA from 2 species
GCGGGCGUGGCGAAACUGGUAGACGCAAGGGACUUAAAAUCCCUCGGCCUUGGCUGUACGGGUUCGACCCCCGUCGCCCGCA